CUGCAGUAUCCUGACUGUGCAAAGGUAGCAUAAUAAUUUGUCUUUUAAUUGGAGGAUGGAAUGAAUGGUUUGACGAAGAUAAAGCUGUCUUGUAUAUAUUUUUUAAAAGUUAAUUUUUAGGUUAAAAAGCCUAAAUUAAAUUAAAGGACGAGAAGACCCUAUUAAGCUUGAAAGAAACGUUUAAUUGAUGUUAUGUGUUGAAAUAUAUAUAUUAAAUUUGAAAUUUUAGUUGGGGCGACUUGGGAGCAGAAAAAACCUCUUAAAAUUAAGUAGAAUUUAAUUUAUGGCCCAAAAAUUUUGAGUUAAGAGUAAGUUACUAUAGGGAUAACAGCGUGAUUUUAUUUGAGAGUUCUAAUCGAAAAUAGAGUUUGCGACCUCGAUGUUGGAUUAGGAAGUAGUAAAGGUUGUAGAAGCUUUUAUAAUUAGUCUGUUCGACUAUUAAUAUCCUACAUGAUCUGAGUUCAAACCGGA
rnacentral:rRNA from 1 species